UUGCGAUACAUGGAAUAGAAAUUGUGGCCAGGUUUCUUCAAAUGCCCCAAAUUUGGACUUGAAGUUACAAUGUCAUUGUACAAUA
rnacentral:snoRNA from 1 species